rnacentral:rRNA from 1 species
GAUGAACGCUGGCGGCGUGCCUAAUACAUGCAAGUCGAGCGAACGGACGAGAAGCUUGCUUCUCUGAUGUUAGCGGCGGACGGGUGAGUAACACGUGGAUAACCUACCUAUAAGACUGGGAUAACUUCGGGAAACCGUAGCUAAUACCGGAUAAUAUUUUGAACCGCAUGGUUCAAAAGUGAAAGACGGUCUUGCUGUCACUUUAGAUGGAUCCGCGCUGCAUUAGCUAGUUGGUAAGGUAACGGCUUACCAAGGCAACGAUGCAUAGCCGACCUGAGAGGGUGAUCGGCCACACUGGAACUGAGACACGGUCCAGACUCCUACGGGAGGCAGCAGUAGGGAAUCUUCCGCAAUGGGCGAAAGCCUGACGGAGCAACGCCGCGUGAGUGAUGAAGGUCUUCGGAUCGUAAAACUCUGUUAUUAGGGAAGAACAUAUGUGUAAGUAACUGUGCACAUCUUGACGGUACCUAAUCAGAAAGCCACGGCCAACUACGUG